GCAGCCCCAGAACACCCAUUAGAGCUGGGGGACAGAAACCAGGAAACCUCCUGGAAAUGAGAGCAGCAAGGGGAAAAGCCACCCAGGAGCUCAGGCACUGCAGGAUCCCACAGUGUCCUUUCACAAAGGGCAACAAAGAUGCUCCAAGGGCUGGAGCCUCUCUGCUCUGAGCCAGGCUGGGAGAGCAGGAGGAGAGAAGGAUCCAGGGAGAGCUCAGAGCCCCUUGCAGAGCCUGAAGGGGCUCCAGGAGAGCUGGAGAGGGACUGGGGACAAGGGAUGGAGGGACAGGACACAGGGAAUGGCUUCCACUGCCAGAGGAUGGGAUAUUGGGAAGGAAUUGUUCCCUGUGAGGGUGGGGAGGCCCUGGCACAGGGUGCCCAGAGAAGCUGUGGCUGCUCCUGGAUCCCUGGAAAUGCUCAAAGCCAGGCUGGACAGAGCUUGGAGCAGCCUGGGGUAGUUGAAGAUGUCCCUGGUGUUCUGGGGCAUCAGCAGCCACAAAUGAGUAGCUGUGGUGUGUGCUGAGAGGUGGCAGCCCCAUCCUGUAUUUUAUCUGGGUUGUCUUAUGGCCAGAAACACAGGUCCAGCUCACAAGAGUCUCCAGCUGUCCUUACCCUCGUGUGCCCCCUGAUCUCCAGCAGUCUGAGGUGUCAAGGUACAAUUUAUUUGUUUGGUGGAUGUGCUAAGCACCUGACUUUUCUCUGCAGGACCCCCAGCUCCUAAAUCUGACACCUCACUGACCACUCAGACAAGAGCCCUGGACAUCUGAGACA